rnacentral:rRNA from 1 species
AGAACGAACGCUGGCGGCAUGCCUAACACAUGCAAGUCGAACGAGAUCCUUCGGGGUCUAGUGGCGCACGGGUGCGUAACGCGUGGGAAUCUGCCCUUAGGUACGGAAUAACUCAGGGAAACUUGUGCUAAUACCGUAUGAUGUCUUCGGACCAAAAGAUUUAUCGCCUAGGGAUGAGCCCGCGUAGGAUUAGCUAGUUGGUGGGGUAAAGGCCUACCAAGGCUACGAUCCUUAGCUGGUCUGAGAGGAUGAUCAGCCACACUGGGACUGAGACACGGCCCAGACUCCUACGGGAGGCAGCAGUGGGGAAUAUUGGACAAUGGGCGAAAGCCUGAUCCAGCAAUGCCGCGUGAGUGAAGAAGGCCUUCGGGUUGUAAAGCUCUUUACCCGGGAAGAUAAUGACUGUACGGAGAAUAAGCCCCGGCUAACUCCGCGCCAGCAGCCGC